AUUCGCAAUGUGUUGACAAGUAGUGGAGAAACAUAUAUACAAGAACCCAACACAUUUCUUCAAUUUGUCAGCACCUCCUUAUAAGAAACGGUCAUAUGACCCUAUAAUGUAUUCAUAUUAAGAAGAUGAAGUGGAUUUGUGAGUUUCACCACCUAUAAACAUGAACCUCUCCGUCAAGAAAACAGUUUCACCACUUAACUACACUCAACGAGACAAAACAAGAUUAAGAAAAGAAUAUAUAAAAAAGCGGUCUGUGUGGUCUUAGAAGAAUAUCAGCUGUUGCCAUUCCAUAAUAUGACCACUUCAUCUUUAUAAUCUCAUCACUCAGGCAGACCAUUUGUUGCAGGUCAUUCCGUUCUCAUUGAAUCAAAGUAUAUGUAAGACACAAUGUUAUCACCUAGUAUAAACAAAAGAAAGGUUACUAUGAAUGAGCUAACAACAAACAGUCAAUCAAAAUGAAUCUGCACUUCUACCACCUCUCUUGCUAACUAGUUCGCAGAGUCGGCAAGGCAGUGUAUCAAGGCUCAUUUCACGUGUCCUGCCGAAGUUGCCGAG
rnacentral:lncRNA from 1 species